rnacentral:rRNA from 1 species
AUUGAACGCUGGCGGCAUGCCUAACACAUGCAAGUCGAACGAGUGGCGGACUGGUGAGUAAUGUCUGGGAACCUGCCUGAUGUACGGGUCUGACUACUGGAAACGGUAGCUAAUACUGCAUACCAUCAGAUGUGCUCAGGGUGGUUUAGCUUGUUGGUGGGGUAACGGCUCACAAAGGCGACGAUCCCUAGCUGGUCUGAGAGGAUGACCGGCCACACUGGAACUGAGACACGGUCCAGACUCCUACGGGAGGCAGCAGUGGGGAAGAUUGCACAAUGGGCGAAAGCCUGAUGCAGCCAUGCCGCGUGUGUGAAGAAGGCCUUCGGGUUGUAAAGUACUGUCGGCGGAGAGGCGUUACCCACAGAAGAAGCACCGGCUAACUACGUGCCAGCCGCCGCGGUAAUUC